CAAUAGCGUAUAUUAAAGUUGUUGCGGUUAAAAAGCUCGUAGUUGGAUUUCAGCCGAGGACGACCGGUCCUGCUUCGUGCAGGAACCAGGUUUGGCCGAGGCACUUCUUGGUGUGACUGUACGCGUGUGAAAGCGCUGCAUGAGCUCCAGGACAUUUACUUUGAGGAAAUUAGAGUGUUUCAAGCAGGCGUCUGCCUUGAAUACAUUAGCAUGGAAUAAUAGGAUAGAACUUCAGUCCUAUUUUGUUGGUUCUUGGGACUGUGGUAAUGAUUAAUAGGGACAGUCGGGGGCAUUCGUACUUAACAGUCAGAGGUGGAAUUCUUGGAUUUGUUAAAGACGAACUACUGCGAAAGCAUUUGCCAAGGAUGUUUUCAUUGA
rnacentral:rRNA from 1 species